CUCCCAUUAUAAAGCAGCUGCUGCUGCUGCAGGGGCACCUGUGUCUCCACUUCAAGAAGAGCUUUCACGUUCUCAACAGAUUCAUGGGAAUCGACAUCUAGAGAUAUGAUGUGCUCAUCAGCUGUCAUUACAGUGAUUCUCAUCUUUUUCUGGGUCUUGUCUUGUGAUUGGAUCUCUUUUUCUCUCCUACUUGAGUUUGGCGGGUUUGCGCUUAUAUAAGGAACUUCGGUUU
rnacentral:misc_RNA from 1 species